CCGGCGUUUGCUCGGUGCGGGUCUUGUCAUUCUCGCCCUCGCGCUGCUCGCCAAUGCCGGUCUCGGCAUCUAUCACGCCGGCGUCGAAUGGGGGUUCUGGCAGGGCCCGACCGAUUGCAGCGGGCCGAUUGUCGAUUUCGGCAACACCGGAAACCUGCUGGACAGUCUGAACAAGGUGAAGGUGAUCCGCUGCGACGAGGUGCAGUGGCGUUUUCUGGGGCUGUCGCUGGCAGGCUACAACGCGUUGAUCUCGCUUGGCAUGGCGGCGCUGGCC
rnacentral:misc_RNA from 1 species